UACGUAGGGUCCGAGCGUUGUCCGGAAUUAUUGGGCGUAAAGGGCUCGUAGGCGGUUCGUCACGUCGGGAGUGAAAACUGGAGGCUCAACCUUCAGAGGUCGACCGAAACCAUCUGGCUAGAGUCCGGGAGAGGAGAGUGGAAUUCCUGGUGUAGCGGUGAAAUGCGCAGAUAUCAGGAGGAACACCGGUGGCGAAGGCGGGUCUCUGGGCCGAUACUGACGCUGAGGAGCGAAAGCGUGGGGAGCGAACAGG
rnacentral:rRNA from 1 species